GGGUUGUGAGGUUAAGCGACUAAGCGUACACGGUGGAUGCCCUGGCAGUCAGAGGCGAUGAAGGACGUGCUAAUCUGCGAAAAGCGCCGGCGAGGUGAUAUGAACCUUUGACCCGGCGAUGUCCGAAUGGGGAAACCCAGUG
rnacentral:rRNA from 2 species